CCAGGACAAUUGAGGCCUUGAUUAUUUUAUUUUAUUAUUAUUUUUUUUUUUCAGCUUCUCUUCUCUUCUUCCUCGAUACCACCGAAGACGUCUCGAGCUUCUUCCAAGGUCGACGACUCUUGCGGUGAUGAUGAUUCCAAGCGAUGAUGGCUUCUAAUCGAACCGUUCCUUCGUCAAGGUUCUUCGAUCUUCAACUCCGUAUCACCUUUUUGAAGAGAUUUGACUCAGCCCCUCUACGAGCCCUCCGUCAACGUUUCCCUCGUCGCCGUCUCUUACUCCGAUCCUGGUUUAUAUUGAAAGUAGAUCGCGACUUCUUCUUUCUCCUGAGAAAAAAUGUUCUCUCAAACCAUCGGGAAGAGAGAAACUUCACCGGAAUUUUGACGUCCCAUUUCCCGGCGAACUCUUCGCGCUUCCUCCGCUGUGUAAAACAACCCCAUGUCUCCCUUCAGCUCCUUACUUAGCUGUUUAAGGCUUUACUUAUGUCGUUUAACUCGAUCAAUUGAGCUUCCUUGUGUAAUUGAGCCAUCCUGGUUCUUUUAGAGAUCCUGUUUCGGUCUUUCUCAGCUACUCCACCUUAAGCUGAAACCUCCUUGGCUUAGAACUCCUUGCCUCGCAUCUUCCUAGCAGGUAACUUCCUUGUAACCAUUGAGCUCCCUUGUUAUCGAUAAGAAGUAACUUGUUUGCUCUAACCUUUAUUACUUCUUCUUGUGCGAGGUGAAUCGAUAACGAAGUUACCUGCCGUGCCAGUCUCUUAGGCUAUCUUGAGGAUUUCACAACAGAGAUCAAACUUUUGCCCUGGUAAAUACGAUUCGGCAAGGACGUCUCCGUGUACAGCAUGUUGAGAGCUGUCCACAUCGCAGCAGCCAUAUCACAGUUGCAGAUCUUCCUCAGGACUUGGUUUCCCACAUUCACAACAAUGAGAUCUUUCGCUUUCUCUGAUUUUCCGAGCUUGACGGGAUCAAUGGUAGGGAUACCUUCAGCUUCUUUCUUCUCCGUGUCCUUCAAGUUUCAGGAUUAGGUAGUUGGACCAGGACAAUUGAGGCCCAUUAGAUCAUCACGAGUUGACGAUCCCAUCUCCAUAAGCUUCAAAAACUUCUUGACAACCAUGGACCUAUGAACUGAAACGUCAAGUUGGCGUUCUCGAGAACCUCAACGCUACAGUCAUAUAGUCGAUGGAGAAUCACAAGCGCACCAGGAAGCAUACCGAGAACGGGCCAGUUUCUAGGGUUGCUAUGAAAAGCUUUUUUGAAACCUAAGGGUUUCUUGAUGAGGAAGUAAUAUAAAAUGAGAAAGCAGAAGCAAAAUAAUACUUCAGAUAAACCGAUUGAAGCCAUUAGAGAAAGUUGUGGUUGGGUGUACAUAAGGAGGAGAAGAAGAAACUUCAUUUAUAGACGCAUGAAUAUUGCACAUUAACCAGACAAAUUGCAAAGUCUCGUUAAAUGAUUUCACAGACAGAUAAGGCUUCCAUCUUCCAUGCAGCUUCUCAUCUAAUUGAAAGAGAUGGAAUUUAUAUUAGGGUCGAUCCAUCUUCAUCUUCAUUUAUUGAGGAGAAAUUUGCUGACUGCAUGAGGCCCGUGCCUCUGGUAACCUAUAUACUAUUAAUAUAGUUACUCUAAGGGGGGUGUAUUGGACUGAGUAUUUUAAGUAGUUGUGGAGUGUUUUAAUUUUGGUGGGAUUUAGGUGAGUUUUGAAUUUAUUUGAGUGAUUUUAGUUAAAGUUUAAAAAUUUAAAUAAAAUCUGUAGGUGAUUUGGUAAA